AGAGUUUGAUCCUGGCUCAGAUUGAACGCUGGCGGCAGGCCUAACACAUGCAAGUCGAGCGGAUGAUGGGAGCUUGCUCCCGGAUUCAGCGGCGGACGGGUGAGUAAUGCCUAGGAAUCUGCCUGGUAGUGGGGGACAACGUUUCGAAAGGAACGCUAAUACCGCAUACGUCCUACGGGAGAAAGCAGGGGACCUUCGGGCCUUGCGCUAUCAGAUGAGCCUAGGUCGGACUAGCUAGUUGGUGGGGUAAAGGCCUACCAAGGCGACGAUCCGUAACUGGUCUGAGAGGAUGAUCAGUCACACUGGAACUGAGACACGGUCCAGACUCCUACGGGAGGCAGCAGUGGGGAAUAUUGGACAAUGGGCGAAAGCCUGAUCCAGCCAUGCCGCGUGUGUGAAGAAGGUCUUCGGAUUGUAAAGCACUUUAAGUUGGGAGGAAGGGCAGUAAGUUAAUACCUUGCUGUUUUGACGUUACCAACAGAAUAAGCA
rnacentral:rRNA from 1 species